CCUACGGGAGGCAGCAGUGAGGAAUAUUGGUCAAUGGGCGCGAGCCUGAACCAGCCAAGUAGCGUGAAGGAUGAAGGACCUACGGGUUGUAAACUUCUUUUAUAAAGGAAUAAAGUGAGGCACGUGUGCCUUUUUGUAUGUACCAUAUGAAUAAGGAUCGGCUAACUCCGUGCCAGCAGCCGCGGUAAUACGGAGGAUGCGAGCGUUAUCCGGAUUUAUUGGGUUUAAAGGGUGCGUAGGUGGGUUCUUAAGUCAGCGGUGAAAGUUUGUGGCUCAACCCUAAAAUUGCCGUUGCUACGGGUUGUCUUGCUUAUAUUUGCGGUAGGCGGCAUUCGUGUUGUAGCGG
rnacentral:rRNA from 1 species